rnacentral:misc_RNA from 1 species
GAUGAAGAACGCAGCGAAAUGCGAUACGUAAUGUGAAUUGCAGAAUUCAGUGAAUCAUCGAGUCUUUGAACGCACAUUGCGCCCCCUGGUAUUCCGGGGGGCAUGCCUGUCCGAGCGUCAUUGCUGCCCUCAAGCACGGCUUGUGUGUUGGGCCUCCGUCCUCCUCCCGGGGGACGGGCCCGAAAGGCAGCGGCGGCACCGCGUCCGGUUCUCGAGCGUAUGGGGCUUCGUCACCCGCUCUUGUAGGCCCGGCCGGCGCUUGCCGACACAUCAAUCUUUUUUCCAGGUUGACCUCGGAUCAGGUAGGGAUACCCGCUGAACUUAAGCAUAUCAAUAAGCGGAGGA